AACUUUAUAGUUUAUAAAAAACAUUUCUUUUUCAAGGAAAAAAAUAAACAAGUUU
rnacentral:tRNA from 1 species